rnacentral:SRP_RNA from 1 species
CCGUGCUAAGCGGGGAGGUAGCGGUGCCCUGUACUCGCAAUCCGCUAUAGCGAGGCCGAAUUCCAACUCUAGGUCUUGCUGUCGUAGGGUCUGCCCUAAGUAAGUGGUGUUGACGCUUGGGUUCUACGCAACGGAAACCCAUGAACCCUGUCAGGUCCGGAAGGAAGCAGCAGUAAGUGGUCCCUUCCGUGUGCCGUAGAGGUGCCUGGGCCGAGCUAACUGCUUAGGUAACGCCUGGGACAGCUUGAUCGAAAGUUGGUGCACGG